rnacentral:lncRNA from 1 species
GACAACAUUCUCUUCACGUAGGAAUUAUUUAAUGGGUACAACAGGAAAGGUGUAUCCCCUCGGUGUGUAUUAAAAGUUGACCAGAGGAAGGCUUAUGACACAAUGGAAUGGUGCUUUAUUGAGAGGCUGAUGCUGGACAUGGGUUUCCCCUACAAAUUUACAAACUGAAUACUGGAAUGCAUCUCUUCAUUAACAUAUUCAUUAAGUCUCAAUGGAGGGUUGACAAAACCGUUUAAAGGAAAAGAGGUAUACAGCAAGGCGACCCAAUGUCCCCAUACCUCUUUGUAAUUGUCAUGGAAUAUUUGAACAGGGAACUCAAGAAUAUGAUGGAAAGAAAGGAAUUCAAAUUUCAUCCUAGAUGUAAGAAGCUAGGAGUGUCACAUAUAUGAUUUGGGGAUUAUCUACUACUAUUCUGCAAGGCUGAUACCCAAUAUGUAAGACUUAUAAAACAGACGCUCCAAAACUUUGCGGAAACAUCAGGAUUGCAAGCAAAUGCAGACGAAAGUGCAGUCUACAUAGCAGGGGUAUCAAACUGGACAAAGGAGGAAAUCUUGCACGAACUGGACUUCCCUGAAGGGUCUCUACCCUUCAAAUAUCUUGGUGUUCCCAUGGAUUCCAAAAAAUUAACAGUUACAUAGUGUUGGCCAAUAGUAGAGAAGAUAACACAGAAACCUUGGUGUCCCAUGGACUCCAAAAAAUUAACAGUUACACAGAGUUGGCCGAUAGUAGAGAAGAUAACACAGAAAAUCAACUGCUGGAUAUCAAGACUUCUAUCAUAUGCAGGUAGGCUCCAGUUGAUCAGGACAGUAUUAUUUGGAAUGCAAUCGUACUGGACUCAAAGCUUCUUGCUUCCAAAAAAGGUAAUGAAGAUGAUGAAGAAAUAUUCAGAUCCUUUUUAUGGACUGGAGCAGCAAAUGUGUCCAAAAAGGCAUUAGUCGCCUGGGAAACUAUAUGUCUACCAUAUAGUGCUGGGGGCCUAAAUGUUUUGAACUUACCAAUCUGGAAUAAGGCAGCUGUAGCAAAGCAUCUGUGGGCAGUAACAAUGAAGAAGGACAGCCUCUGGAUCAAAUGGGUGCACGCAUACUACAUUAAGAACAAUGCUGUAGAGGAUGUACCAACUCCUAAAACAGCGCCUGGGCUGUGAGAAAGAUAUUUGAAACCAGAUCACUGAUAACAAAUAUACAGGGUAUACAGGGGGGCCUGAAAUGUCGAUUGAUCCAGCUACAGAGGGGAGACUGUUCAACAUCAACAAACUCUGCAGACUCCAGCUCCCUCAAACCCCAAAAGUACAAUGGAAAAGCAUAGUACUGCAGCCAAAAGUACACCCAAGAUUCAAAUUUAUCGUCUGGCUAGCUUUGCGCAGAAGACUGGCAAUAGUGGAGCGGCUAAUGCACUUUGGGAUACAGAUUCCGCAACAAUGUGUAUUUUUCA